GUCUAUAAAUAAUCCAGAGAUAUCUACACUCUACUCACACUUUACAAACUCUCAACUACACUCAACUGAAAUUAAUAUAUCAACUCUUUGCAUUCGGAUCUUGCGUUGUUUCUCGGCUCUCACAUCAAGGUUUUAAAAUUUUUGUCGGCUUUUCACAUCUCCCUCUUGCAUUGUUGUAAGUUCUUUCAAAUAUGACAUAGUGAAAGGAUAAAUUGUUUUUGUAGUUUUGAUUUUACUUUGUUCUGUUAUAUUUUGAUCUUUUCCUUCA